AUACGUAGGUGGCGAGCGUUAUCCGGAAUUAUUGGGCGUAAAGAGCGCGCAGGUGGUUGAUUAAGUCUGAAGUGAAAGCCCGCAGCUCAACUGCGGGACUGCUUUGGAAACUGCCAGGCUAGAGUGCAGGAGAGGUAAGUGGAAUUCCUAGUGUAGCGGUGAAAUGCGUAGAUAUUAGGAGGAACACCAGUGGCGAAGGCGGCUUACUGGACUGUAACUGACGUUGAGGCUCGAAAGCGU
rnacentral:rRNA from 1 species